UGAACUAAUAAUUACAGAGUCAUAUUAUGAUAUUUUUGUAGCUGAGAUCGACAUUACGUACCUUUGAAUAAUGUUUACCAUUUGUUGAUAAUUUUCUUGUGGUUUUCUCAUUGAGUCAAAGAUUAUCAACCGGUUCUUGGGAAUUUCAAUGACCAUGAGUAUCCAGUGAAAGCUGUUUACACACAUAUAUAUAUAUAGUCAGUCCUAUAAUAUAAAAUAAAAUAUGCAUGCACUUAAUAACUAUAUAACUCACUCGAAGUUGAAGGGGAAGAGUAUUUUUUUGUUUUUCUUUUUGGUUCACAAAGAACCUCAUAAGAUUGGUGCAGACUUCUGUCUCAUGAUCUGCUGCCCACACUGCCUGCGGAGCCUUGAAAACAAUAUAAGGGUCAACGAACCCAAUACUAUUGUCAUUUCUCAUUCUGAGCUCUCUUAUUUGGUGCCUGCAUAUAUACAUACAAAUCCUAAGUGUGUAAGGAUUAUAUACAUGUAAUUAAAGAAAUUAGAAGUAUAAUAAAAAGAAAAAAAUACUUACAGACAAAAGCAGCUGACAAGAGAUUUGUCAAGAGCGUCGAGGUGGCAU
rnacentral:lncRNA from 1 species